CAGAAGUCUGUCAUCAUUCAUGGGUGAGUAGUGAUCAGCUGUGUUAUUGUGACAGUGAUUUAAUUUAAAUCCUUCCUUUGCCCUCUCCGGUAGCAGCUCUGUAUUUUCAGGAAGAAAGAGAAUGGGAAACAACUUUUUUAAUGAAGUACAGCAUUUAAAUUCUCUUUAUAUUUCAUCCUAUCUGGAGCUCUUUACCCAAAUGAAGCAGAAAGCGUUUACAGCUGUAUUUUCCAUCACACCAACCAAGGAAUAUAUUCAUUUGCAGUAACAUGGUGCUCAAUGAAGUGGAAAAUAGGCUCCAAAAAUUGCUACUGCUAUGAAACUGUCUCAAUAACUAGGAAAAGCCCGUUUGGAUUCUACUGACCAGUCACGUAGUUAUGAUAAAAAUUAAUUUGGUCGAACACUUGAACUGUGGCAGAGUAGACGCUUGGCCCUGAGAUAGCUCUGCUUAGGGCCCAGCUCAGAACCGGGCUUGGGACUGCCUCCCCUGCCUCUGCUCUCCCACCCUCCUGCUUCUCAGCUUCAUUUGUCCAGGAGACCUGGCUGAGAGUCCAGCACGCUCACCAUGUCCUCUUCUCUACUGGCUGUUGAUCAGGCCUCUUCCUGCCGUAUCCACUGCUGGCUUCUGGCAAUGGAGGAGUCACCAAAAUUGCUCCUUCUGCUGAUAGGAGCGUGAAGCAAGGUAGAUGUGCGGCAGACACCGUUCCUGCAUGGGAGAGCAAUGUCCAGAGGGUGGACUCCAAAGGGCCAUCAGGGUGGCACAUGGUGGGGGGAUACAGGGAGCCCCUCUGCCCUUCUGUCCUGGGAUGAAGGCGCUCCUCGAAGAGACACCCAUGGAGCUGUGACCUCCCCCUGUGCAUUGUAUUACCAGUGCAUGACUCUAACUGUGCCUUGUGUGGAUAUGCCUGCUGUUCUGGAGAUGACGUUAGAGCUGGCUGGAGCUGGACGUCAAAGAUGUCCUUCAUCCCUGUCAGAGGGUUUACAGGCUCCGCUCCGCAGCAAUCAUUAUCAGGAGCGAACGGGCCGCCUCGUCGCUUCGUCCGGCCUGGGCAGAGCCGAGAAAUAAUUCCCGAGGCCCUCGAAAAGUUUGCGCUGCCGGCACGAACCGCCGCGUCUGCCGGGGGCUGUGUGUAGCGGUUGCAAGCCAGGGAGCCGAGGCC
rnacentral:lncRNA from 1 species